GGUGACGUGGCCGAGUGGUUAGGCAAAGGUCUGCAAAACCUUGUACGGCGGUUCGAUUCCGCCCGUCACCU
rnacentral:tRNA from 2 species